rnacentral:rRNA from 1 species
AAUAGAUACCCCGGUAGUCCACGCCGUAAACGAUGGAUGCUAGCUGUUAUGAGUAUCGACCCUUGUAGUAGCGAAGCUAACGCGUUAAGCAUCCCGCCUGUGGAGUACGAGCGCAAGCUUAAAACAUAAAGGAAUUGACGGGGACCCGCACAAGCGGUGGAGCGUGUUGUUUAAUUCGAUGAUAAGCGAAGAACCUUACCAGGGCUUGACAUCCCUGGAAUUUCUCCGAAAGGAGAGAGUGCCUUCGGGAAUCAGGUGACAGGUGAUGCAUGGCCGUCGUCAGCUCGUGUCGUGAGAUGUUUGGUUAAGUCCAUCAACGAGCGCAACCCUUGUAAAUAGUUGAAUUUUUCUAUUUAGACUGCCUCGGUAACGGGGAGGAAGGAGGGGAUGAUGUCAGGUCAGUAUUUCCCUUACGCCUUGGGCUACAAACACGCUACAAUGGCCGGUACAAAGGGCAGCCAACCCGCGAGGGGGAGCAAAUCCCAUCAAAACCGGUCUCAGUUCGGAUAGCAGGCUGAAAUUCGCCUGCUUGAAGCCGGAAUCGC